rnacentral:rRNA from 1 species
GCACCGGCUAACUACGUGCCAGCAGCCGCGGUAAUACGUAGGGUGCAAGCGUUAAUCGGAAUUACUGGGCGUAAAGCGUGCGCAGGCGGUUUUGUAAGUCUGUCGUGAAAUCCCCGGGCUCAACCUGGGAAUUGCGAUGGAGACUGCAAGGCUAGAAUCUGGCAGAGGGGGGUAGAAUUCCACGUGUAGCAGUGAAAUGCGUAGAGAUGUGGAGGAACACCGAUGGCGAAGGCAGCCCCCUGGGUCAAGAUUGACGCUCAUGCACGAAAGCGUGGGGAGCAAACAGGAUUAGAUACCCUGGUAGUCCACGCCCUAAACGAUGUCUACUAGUUGUCGGGUUUUAAUUAACUUGGUAACGCAGCUAACGCGUGAAGUAGACCGCCUGGGGAGUACGGUCGCA